rnacentral:rRNA from 1 species
GAAGCUGGAAUUGCUAGUAAUCACAGGUCAGCAUACUGUGGUGAAUACGUUCCCGGGCCUUGUACACACCGCCCGUCACACCAUGAGAGUUGAGAAUACCCGAAGUCCAUGUCAAAGUGGCCGAAGGUAGGCUUGAUGAUUGGGGUGAAGUCGUAACAAGGUACC